UGACAAAGGACUCACGCUAGCAACUGAUAA
rnacentral:sRNA from 1 species